GAUGAACGCUGGCGGCGUGCUUAACACAUGCAAGUCGAACGGAAAGGCCCAAGCUUGCUUGGGUACUCGAGUGGCGAACGGGUGAGUAACACGUGGGUGAUCUGCCCUGCACUUCGGGAUAAGCCUGGGAAACUGGGUCUAAUACCGGAUAGGACCACUUCUUGGAUGUUGUGGUGGAAAGUUUUUUCGGUGUGGGAUGAGCUCGCGGCCUAUCAGCUUGUUGGUGGGGUAAUGGCCUACCAAGGCGUCAACGGGUAGCCGGCCUGAGAGGGUGUACGGCCAUAUUGGGACUGAGAUACGGCCCAGACUCCUACGGGAGGCAGCAGUGGGGAAUAUUGCACAAUGGGCGCAAGCCUGAUGCAGCGACGCCGCGUGGGGGAUGACGGCCUUCGGGUUGUAAACUCCUUUCGCUAGGGACGAAGCGUUUUGUGACGGUACCUGGAGAAGAAGCACCGGCUAACUACGUG
rnacentral:rRNA from 1 species